rnacentral:lncRNA from 1 species
GUCACAUUUUUAUAAACGUAUCUGUGCGUCCAGGGCAGGCGUGUCGAUGGGCCGUGGAAAUGAAGGUCCCCCUCAAACGCACACAACACCGCGGGCACUUUUGGGGAGUCGCUGGUACCCUACAGGCAUUAACCUCGAAUCCCGUGAUCUUCGCCGCAGACGCUAAGAAGAGCGGGUCCGCCUAAAGAGGAAAGCCUCUCGAAUUUGUAUUGGCUCCUGUCUACCAGUUGUCAGGGCCCAGGGUUGAAGUCCAGUAAAUGCCUCACUCGGGAAACCUUGGACACUCGACAGACCAUUUAUUUAUCUCUGGGCCUGACCCAUGCGUUCCAAAGCUCAAGCCGUUGGGGAAAACAGGCUUGGAAAAACGCAUAUCCCACCCGCCCCCAGUAGCUCAGGCUGACAAGUUGGCCCUUCAGCAAGUAUCCCAUUGUCCGAAUCGUGCGGACACCUCCAUAAUGCGCCCCCUUCAUCGGCGCGUAUAAAAGAUCCCCUAUGCUUCCUAUAUGCGCCCAUGACCUCAUCUUUCCUGCACAGUCCACUCGCUUUCAAUGGACCCAGUCACAAGCCGGAACUGUUUGACUCCAGUGUUGCCUAGCGGACCAUCUGUUGGUCGGAAUCGGCGCGCAAGCCCCGCUUUGCCGGUGGCGGUACCUCCACAGCGGCACCGCCCGCCGCCCUGGUCCCCCCGCACCUCUCCCCUUCCCUCCUCUGCCGUCCUCACCCCGGGAGCUCCCGCGAGUGCCCUGUGGGAACUGCCGGGAGACGGUCAUAAACCCGGCUCUGUUCUCCGGCAGUUUCAGGCCCAGCCGGGCCCAGACCCGCCUUUUCUUCCUUAAAGGUCACAAAAUCUAAUUAGAACGAUUGCUAACUGUAUAUUCUCGUUGUCGGUAAGCCUCAAAUAAUAAAAAUCAGACCAAAUGAGACUAAUCAAGGGAGAUGGAAAAUCGAUGUCAUAUUUGUUCCAAGUAAUUUCCUUUUAGAAGAGAAAGGGCUCUUAGGAGUGGUUUGCGAAUUUAAAAGAUGUUUACGGUUGCAUCUAGACAUCGGAACAUCAAAGUCAACCCCAAACGGAAUUUCGCUGGAUGAUCUCUCUCUUUAUUCCCGGAAAAGCCAGGGCGGUGUGGUAUAAAGGCUAAAACGGGGCGACAGCCUUUCUUGGGUCUGCUUUAAGUAGUUCUGGCUUUGCCAAAAACAAAACAAAAAAAAAAAAAUUGAAAAAGGGA